rnacentral:rRNA from 1 species
CGAACGCUGGCGGCGUGCUUAACACAUGCAAGUCGAACGGUGAACUCCGCUUGCGGGGGGAUCAGUGGCGAACGGGUGAGUAACACGUGGGCAACCUGCCCUCAGCUCUGGGAUAACUCCAAGAAAUUGGGGCUAAUACCGGAUAUGACCGCUGACCGCAUGGUCUGGUGGUGGAAAGAUUUAUCGGCUGGGGAUGGGCCCGCGGCCUAUCAGCUUGUUGGUGGGGUAGUGGCCUACCAAGGCGACGACGGGUAGCCGGCCUGAGAGGGUGACCGGCCACACUGGGACUGAGACACGGCCCAGACUCCUACGGGAGGCAGCAGUGGGGAAUAUUGCGCAAUGGGCGAAAGCCUGACGCAGCGACGCCGCGUGGGGGAUGACGGCCUUCGGGUUGUAAACCUCUUUCAGCAGGGACGAAGCGAAAGUGACGGUACCUGCAGAAGAAGCACCGGCCAACUACGUG